rnacentral:rRNA from 1 species
UACGUAGGGGGCAAGCGUUGUCCGGAUUUAUUGGGCGUAAAGGGCUCGUAGGCGGCCAACUAAGUCAGACGUGAAAUCCCUCGGCUUAACCGGGGAACUGCGUCUGAUACUGGAUGGCUUGAGUUUGGGAGAGGGAUGCGGAAUUCCAGGUGUAGCGGUGAAAUGCGUAGAUAUCAGGAGGAACACCGGUGGCGAAGGCGGCUUGCUGGGCCAGUUCUGACGCUGAGGAGCGAAAGCGUGGGGAGCGAACAGG